AGCGAACGCUGGCGGCAGGCUUAACACAUGCAAGUCGAGCGGGCAUCCUUGUGGUGUCAGCGGCAGACGGGUGAGUAAAGCGUGGGAACGUGCCCUUCGGUUCGGAAUAACUCAGGGAAACUUGAGCUAAUACCGGAUACGUGCGAGAGCAGAAAGGUUUAUCUGCCGAAGGAUCGGCCCGCGUCUGAUUAGCUAGUUGGUGAGGUUACGGCUCACCAAGGCGACGAUCAGUAGCUGGUCUGAGAGGAUGAUCAGCCACACUGGGACUGAGACACGGCCCAGACUCCUACGGGAGGCAGCAGUGGGGAAUAUAGGACAAUGGGGGCAACCCUGAUCCAGCCAUGCCGCGUGAGUGAUGACGGCCUUAGGGUUGUAAAGCUCUUUUCUCCGGGACGAUAAUGACGGUACCGGAGGAAUAAGCCCCGGCUAACUUCGUG
rnacentral:rRNA from 1 species